GUCCUUAUAGCUCAGUAGGAUAGAGCGAGUGCCUCCGACGCACUAGGUCGGGAGUUCGAUUCUCUCUAAGGACACCA
rnacentral:tRNA from 1 species